UCUCCGUUGGUGAACCAGCGGAGGGAUCAUUACCGAGUUUACAACUCCCAAACCCAAUGUGAACGUUACCAAACUGUUGCCUCGGCGGGAUCUUCUGCCCCGGGUGCGUCGCAGCCCCGGACCAAGGCGCCCGCCGGAGGAAUCAACCAAAACUCUUAUUGUAUACCCCCUCGCGGGUUUUUUUAUAAUCUGAGCCUUCUCGGCGCCUCUCGUAGGCGUUUCGAAAAUGAAUCAAAACUUUCAACAACGGAUCUCUUGGUUCUGGCAUCGAUGAAGAACGCAGCGAAAUGCGAUAAGUAAUGUGAAUUGCAGAAUUCAGUGAAUCAUCGAAUCUUUGAACGCACAUUGCGCCCGCCAGUAUUCUGGCGGGCAUGCCUGUCCGAGCGUCAUUUCAACCCUCGAACCCCUCCGGGGGGUCGGCGUUGGGGAUCGGCCUUCCUUCACGGGGGCCGUCUCCGAAAUACAGUGGCGGUCUCGCCGCAGCCUCUCCUGCGCAGUAGUUUGCACACUCGCAUCGGGAGCGCGGCGCGUCCAUAGCCGUUAAACACCCAACUUCUGAAAUGUUGACCUCGGAUCAGGUAGGAAUACCCGCUGAACUUAAGCAUAUCAAUAAGCGGAGG
rnacentral:rRNA from 1 species